CUAGAAGCCACUGAAUCCAAUCAUGAAAUUAUGUGUACCAUUUCAGUCUUAGAAAGUGGAGUUGGUCGCUAUACGCAAGACAGACACUGGGGCUGGACUCACCAUCAGUGGCCCAGAAAAGGUACUGAAAUUUGCUUACAAGUGCAGAGUUAUGCUGAACUUAAGGGUAUAGAUGUAGAUUCCCUGGUUAUUGAGCACAUCCAGGGAACAAGGCACCCAUAAUGUACCACCUGACUUACAGAACUCAUGGGCAGAUGAACCCAUCCACAAACUCCCCUGCCACAUCCAGAUGAUGCUUAGUGAAAAGAAACACCUUGUUCCAAAAGCAGAAAAGGAGGCUGCACGGAAGAAAAAGAUACCCCAGAAGAAACAUAAACUUAAGAGACAAAUAAAUUCAGCCAAAAGAAAAUGCAAAUAAAAGUUCAAAACAAAACAAAAAAAACCUCUAAAAUUCAUAAAACACAAAAUGACAAACUCUAUUAAAUAUGCCUCUAUGAUAUCUCUUAGAUAAAAGUUGGCCGUAAUAGAGAAAAUGAAGAUAGGUGUUGGUGACUGGCAGAUUCUGGGUCUACGAUGAAUCAGAG
rnacentral:lncRNA from 1 species